GUAUAUGGUUUAAGUUGGUGGUCAAGUUACAUUUUUUUGCAUGGAGCUGUCCAGAUCCCUCAACACCAUUUGUAGAAGAAGCUACUUUUACUCCAUUUUAUGCUUCUUUCCCCUUUGUCAAAUAUUAAUUGACCAUAGAGAUUUCGGUUUAUUUAUGGGCUCUCUGUUCUGUUCCAUUGAUCUAUGAGUCUCUUCUUAUGCCA